GAUGAACGCUGGCGGCGUGCUUAACACAUGCAAGUCGAACGAAGCACUUAAGAUUGAUUCUUCGGAUGACGUCUUUUGUGACUUAGUGGCGGACGGGUGAGUAACGCGUGGGUAACCUGCCUCACACAGGGGGAUAACAGUUAGAAAUGACUGCUAAUACCGCAUAACCCGAUAGGAUCGCAUGAUCCAGACGGAAAAGAUUUAUCGGUGUGAGAUGGACCCGCGUCUGAUUAGCUAGUUGGUGAGGUAACGGCCCACCAAGGCGACGAUCAGUAGCCGGCCUGAGAGGGUGAACGGCCACAUUGGGACUGAGACACGGCCCAAACUCCUACGGGAGGCAGCAGUGGGGAAUAUUGCACAAUGGGGGAAACCCUGAUGCAGCGACGCCGCGUGAGUGAAGAAGUAUUUCGGUAUGUAAAGCUCUAUCAGCAGGGAAGAAAAUGACGGUACCUGUCGAAGAAGCCCCGGCUAACUACGUG
rnacentral:rRNA from 1 species